UUGGGCGUAAGCGCGCGUAUGCGUGUUUUUUAAGUCUGAUGUGAAAGCCCACGGCUCAACCGGUGGGAGGGUCAUUGGAAACUGGAAAACUUGGGUGCAGAAGAGGAAAGUGGAAUUCCAUGUGUAGCGGUGAAAUGCGCAGAGAUAUGGAGGAACACCAGUGGCGAAGGCGACUUUCUGGUCUGUAACUGACUCUGAUGUGCGAAAGCGUGGGGAUCAAACAGGAUUAUAUACCCUGGUAGUCCACCCCGUAAACGAUGAGUGCUAAGUGUUAGGGGGUUUCCCCCCCUUAGUGCUGCAUCUAACGCAUUAAGCACUCCCCCUGGGGAGUACGACCGCAGGGUUGAAACUCAAAUGAAUUGACGGAAUCUCUAGUGAAGCUCACAAC
rnacentral:rRNA from 1 species